rnacentral:rRNA from 2 species
CUCUGGUAAUGAUUGGUGCUUGCAUCAUGAAUUACAUUUGAGUGAGUGGCGAACUGGUGAGUAACACGUGGGAAACCUGCCCAGAAGCGGGGGAUAACACCUGGAAACAGAUGCUAAUACCGCAUAACAACUUGGACCGCAUGGUCCGAGUUUGAAAGAUGGCUUCGGCUAUCACUUUUGGAUGGUCCCGCGGCGUAUUAGCUAGAUGGUGAGGUAACGGCUCACCAUGGCAAUGAUACGUAGCCGACCUGAGAGGGUAAUCGGCCACAUUGGGACUGAGACACGGCCCAAACUCCUACGGGAGGCAGCAGUAGGGAAUCUUCCACAAUGGACGAAAGUCUGAUGGAGCAACGCCGCGUGAGUGAAGAAGGGUUUCGGCUCGUAAAACUCUGUUGUUAAAGAAGAACAUAUCUGAGAGUAACUGUUCAGGUAUUGACGGUAUUUAACCAGAAAGCCACGGCUAACUACGUGCCAGCAGCCGCGGUAAUACGUAGGUGGCAAGCGUUGUCCGGAUUUAUUGGGCGUAAAGCGAGCGCAGGCGGUUUUUUAAGUCUGAUGUGAAAGCCUUCGGCUCAACCGAAGAAGUGCAUCGGAAACUGGGAAACUUGAGUGCAGAAGAGGACAGUGGAACUCCAUGUGUAGCGGUGAAAUGCGUAGAUAUAUGGAAGAACACCAGUGGCGAAGGCGGCUGUCUGGUCUGUAACUGACGCUGAGGCUCGAAAGUAUGGGUAGCAAACAGGAUUAGAUACCCUGGUAGUCCAUACCGUAAACGAUGAAUGCUAAGUGUUGGAGGGUUUCCGCCCUUCAGUGCUGCAGCU